rnacentral:rRNA from 1 species
UACAGAGGCCUCAAGCGUUUGUUCGGAAUUACUGGGCGUAAAGGGAAUGUAGGCGGUGGCGUAAGUCAGAUGUGAAAGCCCUGGGCUUAACCUGGGAAGUGCAUUUGAUACUGCGUCACUCGAGUGUGGAAGAGGAAAGCGGAAUUCCAGGUGUAGGGGUGAAAUCCGUAGAUAUCUGGAGGAAUACCGAUGGCGAAGGCAGCUUUCGUCGAUAC